rnacentral:rRNA from 1 species
UACAGAGGUCCCAAGCGUUGUUCGGAUUCAUUGGGCGUAAAGGGUGCGUAGGCGGCUUGUUGCGUCGACCGUGAAAACCCGUGGCUUAACUGCGGGCUUGCGGUCGAUACGGGCGGCUGGAGUUCGGUAGGGGAGACUGGAAUUCCUGGUGUAGCGGUGAAAUGCGCAGAUAUCGGGAAGAACACCCGUGGCGAAGGCGGCACUCUGGGACGGUACUGACGCUGAGACGCGAAAGCGUGGGUAGCAACAGG